rnacentral:rRNA from 1 species
GACAGAGGGUGCAAACGUUGUUCGGAAUUACUGGGCGUAAAGCGCGUGUAGGCGGCUUUGCAAGUCAGACGUGAAAUCCCUCGGCUUAACCGGGGAACUGCGUCUGAUACUGGAUGGCUUGAAUCCGGGAGAGGGAUGCGGAAUUCCAGGUGUAGCGGUGAAAUGCGUAGAUAUCUGGAGGAACACCGGUGGCGAAGGCGGCAUCCUGGACCGGCAUUGACGCUGAGGAGCGAAAGCCAGGGGAGCAAACGGG